ensembl:lncRNA
ACCAUCUCCUUUGAGUGGAUCCACAGUCCUGUGUCUGCUGAAAAUUGUGACAUAUUUGACCCUGUUAUGGAGAGCCAGGGUGUUGCAAUGUGCAGCUCGCUCCGAGGGGCUGUCUGCCAGUUUAAGAAAGAAGGGCUGGAUAUUUUCAGUUUACCAGACACACCAUUCUUUAGCAGGCUGAACAAGGAUCCUGUGAUGAAGGAGCUGAGUGGCAACACCUCCUUGCACAGAGACCUGAUCUUUCUGGAGUACCUGAUACAGGCUGUGUUAGAAGCAGUGGAACCCAGUGACCCUCACCUCCUAACCUCCACUGAUGUUCUCUACUUCUCCAAGAUGACUGAUAUGAUUUCACAAGCAGGCCAUUCUGCAGCAGGAAAUUAUGCAGAACAGGUUAUGUCCAUUGCCACCAACUAUGUGAAUGCUGCAAGUUUGAUGUUGGAGCCACACAUGGCUACACAGUGGAUGGGUCUGACAAAGGAUGGGGUCAACGUUGGACCAUUUACUAUUGUCGAGAGCAUUGAUACUCUCACUAAAGCUCUUGCAGAUUUGCUGUCAGUCGAAGGAAAAGGCUUUACUCUUUCUACCAAGAACAUAGAUGUGUUCAUGAAGUUACACAAACUGUCUCAAGAGAGCUGUAAUCAAGUCUUCAAGCCAUCCGCAGUCAGAUUACAUAAGUCCAGCCACAGUAGUCUUGAUGAGUUGCUUAUCCCUGACACUGAGCUCCGAAGGAUACAUGCACUAGGUAGGUAGCACACACACUUGA